GUGCUCACUUCGGCAGCACAUACACUAAAAUUGGAACGAUACAGAGAAGAUUAGCAUGGCCCCUGCACAAGGAUGACAUGCAAAUUCGUGAAGCGUUCCAUAUAAAA
rnacentral:snRNA from 1 species